CGGGAAUAUUGCGCAAUGGAGGGAACUCUGACGCAGCGACGCCGCGUGAGCGAUGAAGGCCUUCGGGUCGUAAAGCUCUGUCCUCAGGGAAGAAGAAAGUGACGGUACCUGAGGAGGAAGCCCCGGCUAACUACGUGCCAGCAGCCGCGGUAAUACGUAGGGGGCGAGCGUUGUCCGGAAUUAUUGGGCGUAAAGGGUGCGUAGGCGGCUUAUUAAGUCUGAUGUGAAAGACCACGGCUUACCCGUGGGGUUGCAUUGGAAACUGGUAGGCUUGAGUGUCGGAGAGGACAGUGGAAUUCCUAGUGUAGCGGUGAAAUGCGUAGAUAUUAGGAGGAACACCAGUGGCGAAGGCGACUGUCUGGACGAUAACUGACGCUGAGGCACGAAAGCUAGGGGAGCGAAC
rnacentral:rRNA from 1 species